rnacentral:rRNA from 1 species
GACCUAGCGGCGGACGGGUGAGUAAUGCUUAGGAAUCUGCCUAUUAGUGGGGGACAACAUCUCGAAAGGGAUGCUAAUACCGCAUACGUCCUACGGGAGAAAGCAGGGGACCUUCGGGCCUUGCGCUAAUAGAUGAGCCUAAGUCGGAUUAGCUAGUUGGUGGGGUAAAGGCCUACCAAGGCGACGAUCUGUAGCGGGUCUGAGAGGAUGAUCCGCCACACUGGGACUGAGACACGGCCCAGACUCCUACGGGAGGCAGCAGUGGGGAAUAUUGGACAAUGGGGGGAACCCUGAUCCAGCCAUGCCGCGUGUGUGAAGAAGGCCUUUUGGUUGUAAAGCACUUUAAGCGAGGAGGAGGCUACCGAGAUUAAUACUCUUGGAUAGUGGACGUUACUCGCAGAAUAAGCACCGGCUAACUCUGUGCCAGCAGCCGCGGUAAUACAGAGGGUGCAAGCGUUAAUCGGAUUUACUGGGCGUAAAGCGCGCGUAGGUGGCCAAUUAAGUCAAAUGUGAAAUCCCCGAGCUUAACUUGGGAAUUGCAUUCGAUACUGGUUGGCUAGAGUAUGGGAGAGGAUGGUAGAAUUCCAGGUGUAGCGGUGAAAUGCGUAGAGAUCUGGAGGAAUACCGAUGGCGAAGGCAGCCAUCUGGCCUAAUACUGACACUGAGGUGCGAAAGCAUGGGGAGCAAACAGGAUUAGAUACCCUGGUAGUCCAUGCCGUAAACGAUGUCUACUGGCCGUUGGGGCCUUUGAGGCUUUAGUGGCGCAGCUAACGCGAUAAGUAGACCGCCUGGGGAGUACGG